GUGAAUGUUGGAGGAGAGACCGCUAUAUGCGGCGCCGAAGGAGCAAAUAUUGAGUGAAUCUCUCAGGCAAAAGAACUCCAACAGGACG
rnacentral:ncRNA from 1 species